AAGGUCAUAACAAGGUUUCCUGUAGGUGAACCUGCAGAAGGAUCAUUACUGAAUUGUUAAAAGUGGGGAAGUUGCUUUCGAGCACUCCUCUACAUUCAUUAUUCCUAACACCUGUGAAUCGUUGCUGAGUUUGCUCAGUGGCACCUUUUUUUGACACACACAAAAAAUGUAUAGACGUAAAACUAUUAAAAGUAAAAAGUACAAC
rnacentral:misc_RNA from 1 species